rnacentral:misc_RNA from 1 species
GAUGAAGAACGCAGCGAAAUGCGAUAAGUAGUGUGAAUUGCAGAAUUCAGUGAAUCAUCGAAUCUUUGAACGCACAUUGCGCCCCUUGGUAUCCCGAGGGGCAUGCCUGUUCGAGCGUCAUUUCACCACUCAAGCCUGGCUUGGUGUUGGGCGACGUCCUCUUUGGGGACGCGCCUCGAAACGCUCGGCGGCGUGGCACCGGCUUUAAGCGUAGCAGAAUCUUUCGCUUUGGAAGUCGGGGCCCCGUCUGCCGGAAGACCUGCUCGCAAGGUUGACCUCGGAUCAAGCAGGGAUACCCGCUGAACUUAAGCAUAUCAAUAAGCGGAGGA